rnacentral:siRNA from 1 species
GAGUAUAUUAAUCUGGAGGUCGA